UACGUAGGGUGCGAGCGUUAAUCGGAAUUACUGGGCGUAAAGCGUGCGCAGGCGGCCAACUAAGUCGGAUGUGAAAUCCCCAGCUUAACCUGGGAACUGCAUCCGAUACUGGAUGGCUUGAAUUCGGGAGAGGGAUGCAGAAUUCCAGGUGUAGCGGUGAAAUGCGUAGAUAUCUGGAGGAAUCACCGGUGGCGAAGGCGG
rnacentral:rRNA from 1 species